UCCAGCCACAUCCCCAAAUUCUAAGUUGUAAAACCCUAGGUAUCGUUUGUGCCUAAUUCAAUCCUGUCGAUAUGGCUUUUAGGCAUCAUCUUCUUCGCCUGGCUACUCUACUCGGAUUGGUUGUAACCGUCCUUGCAAGCAUUGGUGCAUGGCAUCGUUAUGAUCCCGAUAUUCCGUAUGGUCAGAAUCCCAUCUGCUGCCGUGCCAAUCCACACUGUUGCCUGCGCAAAUGAUGCAGAUGGCUAGGAUCCUGAUUGCAUAUGGUUGCAAUAUCGUGUUUUCCCGCACUUCGGAAUUAUCGGCAGGCAAGGGUUUCUCUGUUCUUUGGAGCGGAGACUCAAUCAUAUCUUCGUGUAUAUUUGUUAGUACUAGUAAAGGUGCAUGUGUGCACCGCAAGUCUAAUAGUAUAAUAUGUAUUUUGCAGCUACACAAUUUAUAGAUAUAUUGACUAAAAGAAAUGUGUAUUUGAAAUAAUUUAUCUGAAUA